CGUUCUCAGUUCAAAUUGCAGGCUGCAACCCGCCUGCAUGAAGUCGGAAUUGCUAGUAAUCGCGGAUCAGCAUGCCGCGGUGAAUACGUUCCCGGGCCUUGUACACACCGCCCGUCACACCAUGGGAGCCGGUAAUACCCGAAGUCAGUAGUCCAACCACGUGAGGACGCUGCCGAAGGUAGGAUUGGCGACUGGGGUGAAGUCGUAACAAGGUACC
rnacentral:rRNA from 1 species